rnacentral:rRNA from 1 species
UACGUAGGGUGCGAGCGUUGUCCGGAAUUACUGGGCGUAAAGAGCUCGUAGGUGGUUUGUCGCGUUGUUCGUGAAAACCGGGGGCUUAACCCUCGGCGUGCGGGCGAUACGGGCAGACUUGAGUACUGCAGGGGAGACUGGAAUUCCUGGUGUAGCGGUGGAAUGCGCAGAUAUCAGGAGGAACACCCGUGGUGCAGACGGCUUGCUGGACCUCCACUGACGCUGAGGCACGAAAGCGUGGGGAGCAAACAGG